GCCCCUAUAGUCUAGCGGAUAGGAUGCAACCUUGCGGAGGUUGUGGCCCGGGUUCAAAUCCCGGUAGGGGCG
rnacentral:tRNA from 1 species